CCUACGGGAGGCUGCAGUGGGGAAUAUUGCACAAUGGGCGCAAGCCUGAUGCAGCCAUGCCGCGUGUGUGAAGAAGGCCUUCGGGUUGUAAAGCACUUUCAGCGAGGAGGAAGGGUUCAGUGUUAAUAGCACUGUGCAUUGACGUUACUCGCAGAAGAAGCACCGGCUAACUCCGUGCCAGCAGCCGCGGUAAUACGGAGGGUGCAAGCGUUAAUCGGAAUUACUGGGCGUAAAGCGCACGCAGGCGGUUUGUUAAGUCAGAUGUGAAAUCCCCGCGCUUAACGUGGGAACUGCAUUUGAAACUGGCAAGCUAGAGUCUUGUAGAGGGGGGUAGAAUUCCAGGUGUAGCGGUGAAAUGCGUAGAGAUCUGGAGGAAUACCGGUGGCGAAGGCGGCCCCCUGGACAAAGACUGACGCUCAGGUGCGAAAGCGUGGGGAGCAAACAGGAUUAGAUACCCGUGUAGUC
rnacentral:rRNA from 1 species